rnacentral:tRNA from 1 species
UCAGUUGGCUUAGUUGGUAAAGCGCUCGUCCAGUUUACAAGCAUCGUGGGUUCGAAUCCCACCUGAA